CUCCUACGGGAGGCAGCAGUAGGGAAUUUUCGGCAAUGGGGGGAACCCUGACCGAGCAACGCCGCGUGAAGGAAGAAGGUAUUCGUAUCGUAAACUUCUGUGAUAGAGGAAGAAAGGCUUAUACAAGGAAAGGUAUAGGAGAUGACGGUACUCUAAGAGGAAGCCACGGCUAACUACGUGCCAGCAGCCGCGGUAAAACGUAGGUGGCAAGCGUUAUCCGGAAUUAUUGGGCGUAAAGAGGGAGCAGGUGGACCCAAAGGUCUAAGUUGAAAGGCUGAUGCUUAACAUUAGGAAAGGCUUAGAAACCAAGGGACUAGAGUUUUGAAGAGGAUUGUGGAAUUCCAUGAGUAGCGGUGAAAUGCGUAGAUAUAUGGAGGAACACCAGUGGCGAAGGCGACAAUCUGGGCAAAAACUGACGCUGAGUCCCGAAAGCGUGGGGAGCAAAUAGGAUUAGAUACCCUAGUAGUCCACGCCGUAAACGAUGAGUACUAAGUGUUGGGAGUGAGAUCUCAGUGCUGUAGUAAACACAAUAAGUACUCCGCCUGAGUAGUACGUUCGCAAGAAUGAAACUCAAAGGAAUUGACGGGGGCCCGCACAAGCGGUGGAGCAUGUGGUUUAAUUCGAAGCAACGCGAAGAACCUUACCAAGUCUUGACAAUCUGGUGAAGGCCCUAGAGAUAGGGAGAUAUAACAGCAGAAACAGGUGGUGCAUGGUUGUCGUCAGCUCGUGUCGUGAGAUGUUGGGUUAAGUCCCGCAACGAGCGCAACCCUUGUCGUUAGUUACCAGCAUGUAAAGAUGGGGACUCUAGCGAGACAGCCGAGGAAUCGGAGGAAGGCGGGGAUGACGUCAAAUCAUCAUGCCCUAUAUGACUUGGGCUACACACGUGCUACAAUGGUCGGUACAAAAUGAAGCGAAGCUGUGAAGUGGAGCGAACCAAAAAAACCGAUCUCAGUUCGGAUUGUAGUCUGCAACUCGACUACAUGAAGAUGGAAUCGCUAGUAAUCGCAAAUCAGCAAUGUUGCGGUGAAUACGUUCUCGGGCCUUGUACACACCGCCCGU
rnacentral:rRNA from 2 species